rnacentral:lncRNA from 1 species
UUUGCACGAAAUUGGUUGUUUUGGAUGGAUGAUGGGCUAGCUAGAAGGUUUUUCUCCACACAUGACACACUUGCAUACAAAUCAAUCUCCAAUUGCUUUUCAAUAAACUAUGAUGCUCAACACCCCAGAUUAACCCUGUGAUGCACAAAUUAACUCUCAGAUUUUCCUUUACUCAUUGAAUUGGAUGAAUGCAUGCGACAACCCAAAUCAUACUCUAAAAGUCCCCUAUAUGAAUGCAUAAUAGAGAUACAAUUAAAGAUCAUUACGUUCCAUGAAAAUCAUAAGCGUUGACGAGGCAAUUGUAACUAUGAAUGCAUGAUACGUUUUCCAAGAAUUUAUUUAACGCGAUUGUGACAAGCAACCUUCACUAUUCAUGAAUAUAAACUUGUAACGAUUAGGUGAAACUUAUUUAUAUCCUAGCAUCAAAUUCAUGCAUGAAAACUAAGUAUGCAUCCUUAGUAAACAUACACAAAUCCGUUAUGAAUAAAAUAGAUAAUUGAAUUGCAAUAACAACUUAUCAAAUCACAAUUGGAAGAAAUCAAUUCAUAUUGCAAAUAUAUUCAUGGUUUCGAAUUCUCCUCUAGCCAAAAGAGGUUUAGUUCCUCAUACUUACAAUUAAACGGAAACAAUUGAAAUGAAACUUUGAAAACCAAAGUAGAAUACACCUAGAAUGCUCCAGCAAUCCAAAUUGAAUGACUAGCAUAACUCCAAGCAAUCCUCCUUCCUUGCAAAUAUGCGGCACCAAGGUGUGAGUGGUGAAUGGAUGGUCUCUUGUGGAGGUGGAUGGAUAUAGGUGAGUUAUGGUGAAGGGUGGAGAGUUGUGUAGAUGAUGUGGUGUCUUUGGAUGAUGGCUCCCAAAUUAUGGUGAAGGGUGGAUGUAUUUAUAGGCUAGGGAGAGGAGUGUAUGGAGUUGUAAUGAGUGGAUGUAAUGGGUGUAGUGGGUGAGUGUUGUGGUAAUGAGUGGAUGCAAUGGGUGUAGUGGAUGAGUGUUUGGUAAUGAGUGGAUGUAAUGGAUGUAGUGGGUGGAUG